rnacentral:rRNA from 1 species
CGGUGUUUAACUGGCGUGAUGUGGGACGUCCUACCGGUGGGCUUAGCCUCGCGAGGGGCGGCCCAACUAAUAUCCCGUCGCGGUGCUCUUUACUGAGUGUCGAGUCGGGCCGGUACGUUUACUUUGAACAAAUUAGAGUGCUUAAAGCAGGCUAUCCUCGCCUGAAUACUGCGUGCAUGGAAUAAUGGAAUAGGACCUCGGUUCUAUUUUGUUGGUUUUCGGAACCCCCGAGGUAAUGAUUAAUAGGGACAGAUGGGGGCAUUCGUAUUGCGACGUUAGAGGUGAAAUUCUUGGAUCGUCGCAAGACGGACAGAAGCGAAAGCAUUUGCCAAAAAUGUUUUCAUUAAUCAAGAACGAAAGUUAGAGGUUCGAAGGCGAUCAGAUACCCGCCCUAGUUCUAACCAUAAACGAUGCCAGCUAGCGAUCCGCCGAAGUUCCUCCGAUGACUCGGCGGGCAGCUUCCGGGAAACCAAAGCUUUUGGGUUCCGGGGGAAGUAUGGUUGCAAAGCUGAAACUUAAAGGAAUUGACGGAAGGGCACCACCAGGAGUGGAGCCUGCGGCUUAAUUUGACUCAACACGGGAAACCUCACCAGGCCCAGACACCGGAAGGAUUGACAGAUUGAUAGCUCUUUCUUGAUUCGGUGGGUGGUGGUGCAUGGCCGUUCUUAGUUGGUGGAGCGAUUUGUCUGGUUAAUUCCGAUAACGAACGAGACUCUAGCCUGCUAAAUAGGCGUACCUUAUGGUAUCGCGAAGGCCCCCGGCUUCGGCCGGUGGGUUUUUACUACCAACGUACAAACAAAUCUUCUUAGAGGGACAGGCGG